UGCAGUCGAGCGGUAGAGAGGUGCUUGCACCUCUUGAGAGCGGCGGACGGGUGAGUAAAGCCUAGGAAUCUGCCUGGUAGUGGGGGAUAACGCUCGGAAACGGACGCUAAUACCGCAUACGUCCUACGGGAGAAAGCAGGGGACCUUCGGGCCUUGCGCUAUCAGAUGAGCCUAGGUCGGAUUAGCUAGUUGGUGAGGUAAUGGCUCACCAAGGCGACGAUCCGUAACUGGUCUGAGAGGAUGAUCAGUCACACUGGAACUGAGACACGGUCCAGACUCCUACGGGAGGCAGCAGUGGGGAAUAUUGGACAAUGGGCGAAAGCCUGAUCCAGCCAUGCCGCGUGUGUGAAGAAGGUCUUCGGAUUGUAAAGCACUUUAAGUUGGGAGGAAGGGCAUUAACCUAAUACGUUAGUGUUUUGACGUUACCGACAGAAUAAGCACCGGCUAACUCUGUGCCAGCAGCCGCGGUAAUACAGAGGGUGCAAGCGUUAAUCGGAAUUACUGGGCGUAAAGCGCGCGUAGGUGGUUCGUUAAGUUGGAUGUGAAAUCCCCGGGCUCAACCUGGGAACUGCAUUCAAAACUGUCGAGCUAGAGUAUGGUAGAGGGUGGUGGAAUUUCCUGUGUAGCGGUGAAAUGCGUAGAUAUAGGAAGGAACACCAGUGGCGAAGGCGACCACCUGGACUGAUACUGACACUGAGGUGCGAAAGC
rnacentral:rRNA from 1 species